AGGGCUUCCACUGGUAGUCACGA
rnacentral:miRNA from 1 species